CAUCCCACCAAAACCGGCUAACAUUUCAGGCAGUCUUUUCAAGGAGCUCUUACACUAAAAGGGCUUUAUCAUCAUCACAAUUUUCAGAGUAUUAUUCCAACCUCAUAGUAUAGAAAUGUAUAUAACACACAGGGAAAUCCUGUUUUUGACUGCACUGGGCCUUUAAAUCUAGUAUAAAAAUGGUGUUUGAGACAAGAACUCAACUCUUCAUUGCAUAGACAGCAUAUAGUUACUGAUGGUAAGAGACUGAUUGUGGUUUCUUUCUAGUUUGGUGAUUAAUAUCUGAUGUGUGUGAGGAAUACUGGGUCUGGAGGGCUGUUCAAACUACAUAACUAUUACCUCUCUCUCCAUCUGAACAGAACCUACAGAAUCUACUGGGAUUUAUUCUUUAACAGUUAGGUCCUCUACUCAUCUACACUCUGAAUUACUCACGGAGGGGACUAUCACCAUGGUGAUGUUGACCAUCCUUCUGUCCUCAGUGCUGCAUUUGCUCUGGGCGAGGCAUGUAGUAGAGACUCCACCUCACACGUACUCCUCAUACAUUCAUUCAUUUUAGUUGUUGUACACUGUGAGACUUCAGUAAAACACCUUAGAAUGCACAGUAAAAUACCUUGAAUGUGUUUUACUUAAUGAAUGCUGUAGAUUGCACUGCAUUAUGGGUAAAAUGCAGAAAUUACUGUUAUUAACUUUACUUGGAAGCCUCCAAUAAAAAUUACUCUAACAUGCUAUGUUUCUUUACAGUAAUAGUUUAUGAUUACUGUAGAUUAAAAUGUUCUGUUUCAAACGCCAAUCUCAUGCUGUCGGGUGAGAUGCAGACUAUUUCAGUUUUUUAAUAAAUAUAUUUUUUAAUCA